rnacentral:rRNA from 1 species
AUUGAACGCUGGCGGCAGGCCUAACACAUGCAAGUCGAGCGGAUGAAGGGAGCUUGCUCCUGGAUUCAGCGGCGGACGGGUGAGUAAUGCCUAGGAAUCUGCCUGGUAGUGGGGGAUAACGUCCGGAAACGGGCGCUAAUACCGCAUACGUCCUGAGGGAGAAAGUGGGGGAUCUUCGGACCUCACGCUAUCAGAUGAGCCUAGGUCGGAUUAGCUAGUUGGUGGGGUAAAGGCCUACCAAGGCGACGAUCCGUAACUGGUCUGAGAGGAUGAUCAGUCACAUGGGAAAUGAAAAGCGCCCCGACCACCUACGGGGGGAGGCAGGGGGGAUUUUGGGAAAAGGGGGGAAGCCUUGAUCCAGCCAGGCGGGGUGUGGGAAGAAGGUUUUCGAAUUUAAAAGCAUUUUAAGUUGGGAGAAAGGGCAGAAAGUUAAUCCCUUGCUGUUUGGACUUUCCAAAAAAAAUAAGCCCCGGCAACCUUCGUC